GUUAAAAAGCUCGUAGUUGGAUUUCUGUUGAGGAUGGCCGGUCCGCUCUAUGAGCGUGUAUCUGGUUCAGCCUUGGCAUCCUCUUGGGGAACGUAGCUACGCUUGAUUGCGCGGUGCGGUAUUCAAGACUUUUACUUUGAGGAAAUUAGAGUGUUCACGGCAGGCAUUCGCCUUGAAUAUAUUAGCAUGGAAUAAUAACAUAGGACCUUGGUUCUAUUUUGUCGGUUUCUAGAACUAAGGUGAUGAUUAAUAGGGAUAAUUGGGGGCAUUUGUAUUAACGCGUCAGAGGUGGAAUUCUUGGAUUGCGUUACGACAAACUACUGCGAAAGCAUUUGCCAAGGAUGUUUUCAUUGAUCAAGAACGAAAGUGAGGGGAUCGAAGACGAUUAGAUACCGUCGUAGUCUUCACCAUAAACUAUGCCAACUAGAGAUUGGAGGUCGUUCUUUUUAUGACUCCUUCAGCACCUUAUGAGAAAUCAAAGUCUUUGGGUUCCGGGGGGAGUAUGGUCGCAAGGCUGAAACUUAAAGGAAUUGACGGAAGGGCACCACCAGGAGUGGAGCCUGCGGCUUAAUUUGACUCAACACGGGGAAACUUACCGGG
rnacentral:rRNA from 1 species